rnacentral:rRNA from 1 species
AGUGAACGCUGGCGGUAGGCCUAACACAUGCAAGUCGAACGGCAGCACAGAGGAGCUUGCUCCUUGGGUGGCGAGUGGCGGACGGGUGAGGAAUACAUCGGAAUCUACUCUGUCGUGGGGGAUAACGUAGGGAAACUUACGCUAAUACCGCAUACGACCUACGGGUGACAGCAGGGGAUCUUCGGACCUUGCGCGAUUGAAUGAGCCGAUGUCGGAUUAGCUAGUUGGCGGGGUACAGGCCAACCAAGGCGACGAUCCGUAACUGGUCUGAGAGGAUGAUCAGCCACACUGGAACUGAGACACGGGCCAGACUCCUACGGGAGGCAGCAGUGGGGAAUAUUGGACAAUGGGCGCAAGCCUGAUCCAGCCAUACCGCGUGUGUGAAGAAGGCCUUCGAGUUGUAAAGCCCUUUUGUUGGGAAAGAAAUCCAUCUGGUUAAUACCCGGGUGGGAUGACGGUACCCAAAGAAUAAGCACCGGCUAACUUCGUGCCAGCAGCCGCCGUAA